CUUAAGGUUACUGUGGAUGACAAGAAGGUGUCUCAGUUCACGAGUCGGGCUGCACGACUUAAUGAAGCAUUUUCGGUAGUGAGACGGGUGCCUAUUGUACGGCCUUUGUUGCCUGCUGCUGGGUUGAAUUCUUGGCCUGUGAUGACUUUGAGGUAAAAAAAAAAUUGUUGUGGAGUUGGUAUAAUGAGGAAACAUUACGUGAACAUGUUUGAGAUAUAACGUUCAUCUUGCUUUGCUCUGUAAGUAACGUGAUUAUUUUAGAUUUCCUUGUGUAUGAACUUGUUUUUGGUGUGUAUAUGCCAGAAGGGUAUAAGGAUCAAAGAAGCUAUAUAUAUUGUUCGGGUCAUGUUGGGUAUGUGUAAUCAGCUUUGUAAUGUUUGCACUUUAAAAUGAUAAUAAAG
rnacentral:misc_RNA from 1 species